CAAAUUUUGGACUCCAAUUACUUUACGUCAAUUCCCGUCAACGCUUCAGCGUCACAGAUAGUGAACGACUGCUGUCAUAAGAAAGAUUUAUUGGCUAUCAACCUUUACUGAGACUUGAUGAUGCAAAGUUGUCAUGCAGACGACUGCAAUUGCUUUCACUCCAUGCUACGUAUAUGCACACCAGAAGACCAUAUAACUUACGGAUAUGACGCACAUCGCCAUCGACACUUGGCUAGCCAUUGCUCUUAAGCUGGAACGUAGAGAAGAGGAAAUCUAAACGCCGGAGAGGCCGUUGAUCAAUGACAAGGCGUUGCUCGUCAGCUGCACGGCCUUCACGAUCUCGCCUCUGAUGGUGCCUCGCACACCAACCUUCAUGCUGGCGGUGGUGGGAAGGCCUUCCAUGCAAGUGUUCUCGUCGGUCAACGCGGAGCUCACCCACGUCUGCAUGUCGUUGACGCGGAGCCGCAGGUCCUUGCCCUUGAGAUGCCCCAUCUCCUUGAGCGAGUCCCGGAGCUCCUCCACCGAGUUGCCCAUGUUCUCCAAGCAGUCGUUCAUGGCCUCCGCCUCCCUGGCGCCCACCCCGGCCCCGCUGCCUUUGAGCAGCUUGGUGAUGGUGGCGGCGGUAGUGCGCGCGCCGGUCAGGCUCACCGAGAGCGCCGCCUGAGCCAGUUGAACCGGGCUCCUCUGGAUCGUGGUCGCGUACGCUGACAGAGAGCUGAAGCAGAGGCUCGGGUACUGCGUCGCGCCGCAGGAAGAGCGGAUGAAGUUCAGGUUCUUCCCGCCGUAGGGUUCAGGUCUCGCCGCAGAACAAGUGCCGGCACUGACAGCCAAUGCUACAAGGAAGAUGAGAGCAACGAGAGAGCCGCUUCGGAAUGCCAUGGCUUCGUUGCAGAUGGAUC
rnacentral:lncRNA from 1 species